CGCUCUUUGUAGUUUGUAGUGAAUACGAUGAUCCGCUCCUCCCCGCUCGUCGACCACAGCCCAUCAACAAAGUUGAGCAGACCGGAGAGCGUUACCUGUUCAAAAUGAGCAUCGUUAGCAGUGUUUUUUUUCUGAUUUGUUAGCUUGAUCGUGCAAUCAAUGUCCUCUAUGACGAGUAUUGAUUUGUUGGACAUACCAAUCAGUAAACGUCGCAGGGUGCUGUUCCAACCUACUUCAGUGAGCUCCAAAUCAUAGAUAUCAAACUUGAGAUAAUUUGCCAUUGCAGCAAUUAAGCUCGACUUCCCGGUCCCAGGUGGUCCGUAAAGCAGCUCUGCGUCCAUCGCCAGCGUGUCGAACGUCGAAGGGUGGUGUAAGUCUAUGGGAAACCAUGAGUCGCCUUCAUUCAGGUGGAGCUUGAGUGAUUUAUCCUCCUCCUUAAUUUCUUUUGCUCUUGCUAAUAUAAAUGGCAAGUAGGAGUAAAGCGCCUUUUCCUUGUGCUUCUUGUGGAAGCUGAGCUCAAAUGAUCUUACUUCAAUCUGCCGGGAAGUGCCAUUGCUCGAAGUGCCGCCGGAGGUUUCCCGGCAAAUCAACUGCCAUUUGAAUUCGUGUUGAGGCGGGUUGCUAGGUACAGUCUCGCAGCCUCAUAGAUUUGAUUGUUGGCGUACCCUUCGGUCUCUUCAAUUACGAUUGUGUGCUGCGAGGACAUGCAAGAGCGCAGGUCGUGGAUGCCGGAGAAGAUAAAGUCCCGCACUUCGUGGGGGACGAGCUCAUUGACCACUCCGCGGAGGAGCAUAGCAGAGGCCGCGACAGAUGCGGCUGUGGUGACGGCCUUCUUGUAUGAUUCCACGGCCUUUUCAUAUGAAGCCAUGGAGAUCUUCAGGAGCUUGAUGAGGAGUUCAAGUUUCCUGUUGGCUAAGAGGAAUUGUGCUCUCCAAGUUUCCAAGAAGAAGCUUCGGCUAAAUUACUUUUCAGAACACCCCUUGCAUGUAAGUCCAAUUACUCUUUUAGCAUACAAAUUUACAUACAGUUUACUCUUGCACUUUAUCACUGUUUCAAAUAAGCCCGAAAUUUAGGAUGAUUGUUGAAUUUGAGUACAAAAAUGGAAUGAAAUCUACUGCAGUUGAAGUAAGAAUUACACAAAGGCGAUCUUUUAUAUUAUAGUUACGAAUAUUGGUUGGUUUUUGGAGAAUUUUGUUCAUCUUAUGUAAAUUUUGCCCUGUGAAAUAUUUCCAACUUA